GUGAGGAAUAUUGGACAAUGGAUGGAAAUCUGAUCCAGCCAUGCCGCGUGCAGGAAGACGGCCCUAUGGGUUGUAAACUGCUUUUAUACGGGAGCAAUAAGGUCUAUGCAUAGAUUGAUGAGAGUACCGUAUGAAUAAGCAUCGGCUAACUCCGUGCCAGCAGCCGCGGUAAUACGGAGGAUGCGAGCGUUAUCCGGAUUUAUUGGGUUUAAAGGGUGCGUAGGCGGCUUUGUAAGUCAGCGGUGAAAUUUUGCAGCUUAACUGUAAAAGCGCCGUUGAUACUGUGAAGCUAGGAGUUGGUUGCUGUGGGCGGAAUGUGUGGUGUAGCGGUGAAAUGCAUAGAGAUCACACAGAAUAUCGAUUGCGAAGGCAGCUCACAAAGCCAAUAUUGACGCUGAGGCACGAAAGUGUGGGGAUCAAACAGGAUUAGAAACCCUUGUAGUCC
rnacentral:rRNA from 1 species